CAUCUGCUUGUGUGUCUAUGUGCAUAUGUGUGCUUGUGUGCGUUUGUGUGCACCUGGAAUCUCAGCACUUUGGGAGGCCAAGGCAGGAGGAUCACAUAAGCUCAGGAGUUUGAGACCAGCCUAGGCAACAUUGUGAGACCACAAUCUCUACAAAAAAAAAAAAAAAAAAGGUUUUAAUUAGCUGCUGGGCUGUGCCCUGGUGGUGGCUGAGGGUCCUGGAGGCGGAAGUGCACAGGGCACAGCAGCUCACCCAGAGAUCAGGCCCCGUUAACCCUCAGCAGGAGAGGGAGGCAGGGGCCGGGGCUGCUCCACCCAAAAUGCCACCCAAGUGCGGCACGGCCCAGGGUGCGGAAGGGACCUGGUGACCAAGGCCGGCAUGUGCCCAGGGUGCGGAGGGGACCAGGUGACCAGGGCCAGCGCGUGAGAAUAACAUGUGUGACCGACACAGGCAGCUGGAGACAGGAAACGCACAGGGGGUCGGUGUCCCUCAGACAGCAGAGACUGUCACGGGCCGAACUGUGUCCCUCAGACAGCAAGGGACUGUCACGGGCCAAACUGUGUCCCUCAAAAAUCCGAACGUGGGAGUCUUAACUCCCCCAGGAUCCCAGCUGUGACUGUAUUUGGAGGUAGGGUCUUAAGAGAGGAGAUUAGAUUAAAAUUAGAUUGUAAAUCAGCAAAUUGUAUCUUAAAUAUAUGAUCUUUAAGUGUCACAAAUACCUUAAUUAAAAAAAAAUAAUUGAGAAGCCAGAACAUGAAAAGUUUUUUAAGUUAAAAUAAGGCUAUUUGGGUGGACCCCACCCAACCUACCUGUGUUUUUAUAAGAGGCAAUGAGGACACAGACACACAGGAAAACGGCCCUGUGAGGACACGGGGAGGAGGCGCCAGGUGCCAGCCCAGGAGAGAGGCCUCAGGAGCCAGCCCCACUGCACCCUGGCCUCGGGCCCCAGCCUCCGGGACUGUGGGAGAAUCUAUGUGGGUUGCUGAAGCCCCAGCCUGUGGUCCUUUGUCACGGCCACCAGAGCAGACUCACACAGCGGCCUCAAAGGAUGGGGCCACUUGUUCUCCCCGCCGCCCCCCUGCCCCGCCCACCCCCCUUUCCCCUGCAGCCACGCCCCCUCACCGGCCGCCUCCCGCCCCGCCCACCCACCUUUCCCCUGCAGCCACGCCCUCUCACCGGUCGCCUCCCGCCCCGCCCACCCACCUUUCCCCUGCAGCCACGCCCUCUCACCGGUCGCCCCCCCUCCCCCCCGCCCACCCCCCUUUCCCCUGCUGCCACGCCCUCUCACCGGUCUACACACCCGUGCACCCCUGCAGGGCCUUGGCACUGGCUACUCCUGCCGCCAACCCCACUCUGCCCCAAAUAUCCACUUGGCUCCCGGCUUUGCCUCUGUCAAAUAUUUGCCCAAAGAAGCCCUCCCCUGACCGCACACUCGCCCUCCACACGGCCAACCCUUCACCUUGCUCUAUCUUCUCCACUGCACUUACUGGGGGCUUCAGGUAGUCUUCCUGCUUCCUUCCUUCCUCCCUCCAAAACAGAGGCUGAGCCCGGCUGUUGCGGACCCUUGCCUGAGGCGAGAGGCAGGAGUAGGACAUCAUGUGCCAGGCGCAGUGGCUCACACCUCACGAACAUUCACCUUGAACAAACCUCAUCAAGGUUUUCCCCACAUCUCAAUGGAAGGGCAGCCCACGGCUGAUUGACGGGUUGGAGGGGUGCCCAAAAGACAACCUUCCUGCCCCAGCCAGCCCAACUCCAGGUGCUCCAGGGCUCCCAGUGGGACCAGGCUGUCUCCAGCCAAGCCGACCUCCUGGCCUGGCUCCCUCCCUCUCCGCAGAGUGCCAUGAUCACCCCACACAGGCCCCAGCACCUCUGACCUAAACCCCAAGGGCCAGAAUACGGUGUCACCACCCACCCAACCUGACCCAGGCCGAGGGAGCUGGGAGCAGAAAUUCAGGAUGCGGAGGUGAGGGGAGCAGAGGCUGGAUUCAAUUCAGCCGAAUUCCAAUUGGGAGAAAAGUGAACUCCACCCGGGCUUGCCUGGAAGCCCGUUUCCUUGGGAACCGCAGGGCUGAGAAACAGCCUGGCCAGGGAAAAGGCAGCUCCUGGCGGGCAGCCUGGGGCAGCCAUGGGUGUGCAGACCUCGGCCCCUGUGAGCAG
rnacentral:lncRNA from 1 species